CUACGUGCCAGCAGCCGCGGUAAUACGGAGGGUGCGAGCGUUAAUCGGAAUAACUGGGCGUAAAGGGCACGCAGGCGGUGACUUAAGUGAGGUGUGAAAGCCCCGGGCUUAACCUGGGAAUUGCAUUUCAUACUGGGUCGCUAGAGUACUUUAGGGAGGGGUAGAAUUCCACGUGUAGCGGUGAAAUGCGUAGAGAUGUGGAGGAAUACCGAAGGCGAAGGCAGCCCCUUGGGAAUGUACUGACGCUCAUGUGCGAAAGCGUGGGGAGCAAACAGGAUUAGAUACCCUGGUAGUCCACGCUGUAAACGAUGUCGAUUUGGGGGUUGAGCUUUGAGCUUGGCGCCCGUAGCUAACGUGAUAAAUCGACCGCCUGGGGAGUACGGCCGCAAGGUUAAAACUCAAAUGAAUUGACGGGGGCCCGCACAAGCGGUGGAGCAUGUGGUUUAAUUCGAUGCAACGCGAAGAACCUUACCUACUCUUGACAUCCAUGGAAUCCUGUAGAGAUACGGGAGUGC
rnacentral:rRNA from 1 species